rnacentral:rRNA from 1 species
AGUGAACGCUGGCGGUAGGCCUAACACAUGCAAGUCGAACGGCAGCACAGUAAGAGCUUGCUCUUACGGGUGGCGAGUGGCGGACGGGUGAGGAAUACAUCGGAAUCUACUUUUUCGUGGGGGAUAACGUAGGGAAACUUACGCUAAUACCGCAUACGACCUACGGGUGAAAGCAGGAGAUCUUCGGACCUUGCGCGAUUGUAUGAGCCGAUGUCGGGUUAGCUAGUUGGAGGGGUAAAGGCCCACCAAGGCGACGUUCCGUAGCUGGUCUGAGAGGAUGAUCGGCAACACGGGACCGAGGAAACGUCCAGACCCCCAAGGGGAGGCAGAGGAGGGAAAUAUUCGACAAGGGCGGAAGGCCGACGCAAGCAAGACGCGGUAGGGGAAGAAGGCUUCCGGGUGGUAAAGUCUUUUAGUAGGGAAAGAAAAGCGGCAGGGUAAUUCUGCGCGGUUCUGACGGUACCCAAAGAAUAAGCACCGGCUAACUUCGU